GCCGUCGUAGCUCAGCCUGGUUAGAGCACGGAGCUGAUAACUCCGGGGCCCCCGGUUCAAAUCCGGGCGUCGGCA
rnacentral:tRNA from 1 species